UGGGGACUACGAUCGCAAGAUUGAAACUCAAAGGAAUUGACGGGGGCCCGCACAAGCGGUGGAGUAUGUGGUUUAAUUCGACGCAACGCGAAGAACCUUACCAAGGCUUGACAUUGAGUGAAAGACCUAGAGAUAGGUCCCCUUCUUCGGAAGCACGAAAACAGGUGGUGCAUGGCUGUCGUCAGCUCGUGUCGUGAGAUGUUGGGUUAAGUCCCGCAACGAGCGCAACCCUUAUCCUAUGUUACCAGCACGCAACGGUGGGGACUCAUAGGAGACUGCCAGGGAUAACCUGGAGGAAGGCGGGGAUGACGUCAAGUCAUCAUGCCCCUUAUGUCUUGGGCUACACACGUACUACAAUGGUCGGCAACAAAGGGCAGCGAAGCCGCGAGGCGGAGCCAAUCCCAGAAACCCGACCCCAGUUCGGAUCGCAGGCUGCAACCCGCCUGCGUGAAGUUGGAAUCGCUAGUAAUCGCAGGUCAGCAUACUGCGGUGAAUACGUUCCCGGGCCUUGUACACACCGCCCGUCACACCACGAAAGUUGGUAACACCCGAAGCCGGUGAGAUAACCUUUUAGGAGUCAGCUGUCUAAGGUGGGGCCGAUGAUUGGGGUGAAGUCGUAACAAGGUAGCCGUUCGAGAACGAGCGGCUGGAUCACCUCCUUUCUAUGGAGA
rnacentral:rRNA from 1 species